GUUUUAAAUUUUUUUUUUCAGAAAAGAUAAUUUUUUGUUUUCUCAUAAUUUUUACGGGUUGAGCAUCAAUUGAACAUACAUGAGAAGUCUGCCAUUAGGACAGCUAUAUGAGCUGUUGAAAUAUUUCUGUGAAUUUUUUUUAUUAUUAAUUACUGUAAAUUUAGAAAUCAUUGUGUGCAUUUAUUAUUGCAAUUUUGUCAUUUUGGACUU
rnacentral:lncRNA from 1 species